AGAGUUCUCUUUAUUUGAACUUCUCUUCUCUCAAUACUUCUGAUGCUGGUCAGUAUACUUGUGAAGCCUCCAUUAAUGUUAGUCUGAUAUCCAUGGUAGCAAGGAGUAAUGACACCUCAGAUUUACCAUUAGACAUUCCUAUUCCAUCUGUUGAUGUGAGUCAAUCAAGAGAGGAUUAUUUCUUAGCUGGCAGUAACCUGAUACUAACAUGUGAUAUCAGUGUUGAUCCUAAUGUUGAUACACCAUUCACUGUUGAUGUAACCUGGAACAUAACUGAUCAACAGAUCAUGAAUCGUGUUAAUAUCAGCUCCUUUAUGAUAGG